rnacentral:ncRNA from 1 species
CAAACAGCGUUGAAAGGGAUUAGGUUUCUGAUACAGGGCUACAGAGAGCCGGGUUAGGUGCAAGCCGGUGCCAAUGGCAGAAUACCUUGAUCACCCUAGAGCUGCCUUUCUGAAAGCCAGUGGGUAAGUAGGUCAGGUCGGGUUGAGGAACCCGUUACCAAAACCGCACAUACAGUUAUUAGCUGUGUUAGGUGCAAAAAAGUGGCUCCCUUUUGGGGGCAAUCAGGGUGGUACCGCGGAAGUUUACCUCUCGCCCCUGGC